UAUAGCAGUUAGCAGUCUGAUUCCAGCACUGGAAAGCAGGGAAGUAAAGGGCUAUUUCCACCCCCGAUCGAUGCUGCCAGUUUUAAAUGGCAUCAAGCCCCUGACCUCCACAUUGUCCCAAAAUGAUCUCAAUAGCUUGUCCGGCUCCUGGUGGUGGUAGUGGAAGGGACUGGAUGGGCGGAACAAAAUUCUUCAACCCUUCUAAACAAACAGAUGUCGCUUUUCUGCCGUUCCUGCAGUACACCUGUCUGCCCUGGGAAGUACAUUUCUCAGCUGCAGCCCCGCGAGGCCAAGAGCUUGAAGCUGGGUCCUGUGGUUGGGGCUGCAGGUGCUGGGCCUAAAGAGCACGAAGGGGUGCUCCGAUGCCCGAGCCCUGGUGCCCAAGACACACCCCCGGGGUGUCGGUGCCGCAGCCCUCAGCCCCUCCCCGGGUAGCCAGCAGCGCCCGGUCGGCCGCUGGCCGCAGGAGAAAGUAAACAACACCCCAAGUGUCCGGGAACAAAGUGAUCCUCCGACUGUGAAAAACCAGACCUCUGGCUGCCUGGCUCCCUAGGAAUCAAGAAGACGCACAGACUGAAAAUCAAGGGAGGAAGGAACAAGAUCAAGGAUGAGGAUUAGCAUCUGCAAAUUGAACUCUAUCUAAUUUGCAUGUUUAUUUCUUAGAAUUGUAAUUAAAUUUGUGUAAUAAAUGUUUUCCAUUUCAUUUGUACACUUAAAACUUGGGUGACUGACAUGCAGUUAAGUGAAUUUCCUUUUUUUAAAAGCAAAUGUAGAUUAUUCAAUAAAGCAGCAAACCAAUAUUAAACAUAAUUAGAACUAAU
rnacentral:lncRNA from 1 species